rnacentral:misc_RNA from 1 species
AGUUCAAUUUAUGCAAUGUUUCAACCAAGAUAGCCAUAGGCUUCAGACUUCACCAUGCUUGUCAAAAUAUCAUUACAAGAUAACAUUCCGACAAUACAAAGAAACAAAUCUGCAACUCAAAUCAAGUGAAAAUAAAAACUUUAUGCUCCACCUUAAUUCAAGAAUGAACCAAUCAUUUGGCAAAAUUUCUCGUAAAAAAUGAGUGUUUAAAGUGAUAACCUUUAG